rnacentral:rRNA from 1 species
GUGGGGAAUGUUGGGCAAUGGGGGAAACCCUGACCCAGCAACGCCGCGUGAAGGAAGAAGGUUUUCGGAUCGUAAACUUCUAUCCUUGGUGAAGAUAAUGACGGUAGCCAAGAAGGAAGCCCCGGCUAACUACGUGCCAGCAGCCGCGGUAAUACGUAGGGGGCAAGCGUUGUCCGGAAUGAUUGGGCGUAAAGGGCGCGUAGGCGGCCCGGUAAGUCUGAAGUGAAAGUCCUGCUUUUAAGGUGGGAAUUGCUUUGGAUACUGUCGGGCUUGAGUGCAGGAGAGGUAAGCGGAAUUCCCGGUGUAGCGGUGAAAUGCGUAGAGAUCGGGAGGAACACCAGUGGCGAAGGCGGCUUACUGGACUGUAACUGACGCUGAGGCGCGAAAGUGUGGGGAGCAAACAGGAUUAGAUACCCGAGUAGUCC